rnacentral:lncRNA from 7 species
CCUGUCCUUCACUUCCCCUCCCCUCCCCUCUCUUUUGCCCCCAUCCACUACCAUUCCCCCUUGCUUUAAGGGAAACUUACCUUUCCUGCUCUUCACUGACUUCUUGAUUCUCGUGGCUUUGGCUGCUAUUUGCCUUGCUUUCCUUUGCUCUGCUAUGCAUUGCUUUCUCUGUAUUUCUUGCCAUCCACUCCUUCCUUUGAGUUAUUCUUUACUUUUUCACUUGGCUUUUUUCUUCUUUUCUCUUUACCUUUCUUCUCUUGUCAUUAUUCGGUUUUUUUGUUUUUUCUGUUUUCAUCUAUUAGUUUUCUUUCUUUCUUUUUCUUUUUUCAUAUUUUUCUUUUCUCUUUUUUUUUCUAUUUUCUCUUUUUUUUUUCUCUUUUCUUUUUUUCUUUUCUUCUUUCUUUUUUCUUUUUUGUUCAUUUUCUUUUUUUUCUUUUUCUUUUUUUUCUUUUUAUCUUUUUUCUUUUUCAUUCUUUUUCUUUUUCUUUUCAUUUUUUCUCUUUUUCUUAUUUUUCUUUUCUUUUUUCUCUUUUUUCAUAUUUUUUGUUCUUAUUUUUUCUUUUCUUUUCUUUUUUCAUCACAGGUUUGCCUUCAGCCCUCCCCUCAGCCCUUCCCUCCGCUCUGCUCUUCACCCAUCCCCUCCCCUCCCCAUCCCCUCUUUCUCCCUUACCCUCCCCUUUCCCUUGCCUUUGCCUCCCAGUACCUUGCCUGCCCUUCACUUACCUUCUCCUCACUUCCUGCUUCUUGAUGCUAUGGGCUUUUGCUGCUACUCACGCCAAACCCCAACACUUGCCUACUCUGCGUGCUGCUCUGCCAAGUUGCUCUCUACUCUGCUCACAGCUUCACGCCUACUGCCUGCCCUUCUCUGUCCCCUUCUCGUGCCCUUCACGCUUUUCCUCCCCUUGCUGAGCAAGGCCAUGCCCGGUAGCUACCCUUGAACCUCCUCCGCCCUUUGCCUUCCUCCACAGAGAUGCUUGCUUCUGGCCAGCACUCCUGCCCGGUGCCUAGCCCACACACCUCAUCUCUUGGGGAGAUAGCAAGCUGGCCUGUAGCUACCCACACCUCCUCCCGGGCAUGGCUUCUCAGCUUUGCUUCAAGCCCAGAACCCAAAGGAGCUCCUCUUACCUUUUGGCCCACAUUCUUCUCCUCCCGCGCAGCUCCUGUGGCAAGCAGGGGCACAGCUCUGGCCAGAGUCCUCCAUUCCUGCAAGGUUGCUUUUUGUCAUUCUUUGCCUUCUGUUGCUGUGCUCUCUUUUGCUGUGCUAUGCCUAGCUUUCCUACUUGCUUGCUCUGUAUUUACAUGCAUUGCUUUUGACUUGUUAUUCUCCUUUGUCCUCUGUUUCAUUAGUUUCCCUUCAACCCUCCCCCUUCCCUCACCCUACCUCCAAUUUUUUCCUUCCUACCCUCUCUCCUCUCCCCCCCAGCCACCCACACCCCCACUUACUCACCCCCCUCACCUCUGCCCCCUCUCCACCCCUCCUCCCUCCCCCCUCUCGCCCCCCUCACCCCCCUCUAGCCCCACUGCUCCUCCCCCUCUCCCCCCCCUCCUUCACUUCCCCUCCCCCCCCUCUCUUUUGCCCCCAUCCACUACCAUUCCCCCUUGCUUUAAGGGAAACUUACCUUUCCUGCUCUUCACUGACUUCUUGAUUCUCGUGGCUUUGGCUGCUAUUUUGCCUUGCUUUCCUUUGCUCUGCUAUGCAUUGCUUCUCUGUAUUUCUUGCCAUCCACUCCUUCCUUUGAGUUAUUCUUUACUUUUUCACUUGGCUUUUUUCUUCUUUUCUCUUUACCUUUCUUCUCUUGUCAUUAUUCGGUUUUUUGUUUGUUUUUUCUGUUUUCAUCUAUUAGUUUUUCUUUCUUUUUUCUUUUUUCUUUUUUUCAUAUUUUUCUCUUUUCUCUUUAUUUCUAUUUUCUCUUUUUUCUUUUCUCUUUUCUUUUUUAUCGUUUUUUUUUUUUUGUCUUUUCUUUUUUCUUUUUUGUUCAUUUUCUUUUUUCUUUUCUCCUUUUUGUCUUUUUUGUUCAAUUUCUUUUUGUCUUUUAUCUUUUUUCUCUUUUUCAUUCAUUUUUUCUUUUUUUCUUUUCAUUUUUUCUCUUUUUCUUAUUUUUCUUUUCUUUUUUCUCUUUUUUCAUAUUUUUUGUUCUUAUUUUUUCUUUUCUUUUCUUUUUUCAUCACAGGUUUGCCUUCAGCCCUCCCCUCAGCCCUUCCCUCCGCUCUGCUCUUCACCCAUCCCCUCCCCUCCCCAUCCCCUCUUUCCUCCCUUACCCUCCCCUUUCCCCUUGCCUUUGCCUCCCAGUACCUUGCCUGCCCUUCACUUACCUUCUCCUCACUUCCUGCUCCUUGAUGCUAUGGGCUUUUGCUGCUACUCACGCCAAACCCCAACACUUGCCUACUCUGCGUGCUGCUCUGCCAAGUUGCUCUCUACUCUGCUCACAGCUUCACGCCUACUGCCUGCCCUUCUCUGUCCCCUUCUCGUGCCCUUCACGCUUUUCCUCCCCUUGCUGAGCAAGGCCAUGCCCGGUAGCUACCCUUGAACCUCCUCCGCCCUUUGCCUUCCUCCACAGAGAUGCUUGCUUCUGGCCAGCACUCCUGCCCGGUGCCUAGCCCACACACCUCAUCUCUUGGGGAGAUAGCAAGCUGGCCUGUAGCUACCCACACCUCCUCCCGGGCAUGGCUUCUCAGCUUUGCUUCAAGCCCAGAACCCAAAGGAGCUCCUCUUACCUUUUGGCCCACAUUCUUCUCCUCCGCGCAGCUCCUGUGGCAAGCAGGGGCACAGCUCUGGCCAGAGUCCUCCAUUCCUGCAAGGUUGCUUUUUGUCAUUCUUUGCCUUCUGUUGCUGUGCUCUCUUUUGCUGUGCUAUGCCUAGCUUUCCUACUUGCUUGCUCUGUAUUUACAUGCAUUGCUUUUGACUUGUUAUUCUCCUUUGUCCUCUGUUUCAUUAGUUUCCCUUCAACCCUCCCCCUUCCCUCACCCUACCUCCAAUUUUUUCCUUCCUACCCUCUCUCCUCUCCCCCCCAGCCACCCACACCCCCACUUACUCCCCCCCCUCACCUCUGCCCCCUCUCCACCCCUCCUCCCUCCCCCC